rnacentral:rRNA from 1 species
UACGGAGGGUGCGAGCGUUGUCCGGAAUCAUUGGGCGUAAAGGGCGCGUAGGUGGCCCCUCAAGCGUGCGGUGAAAGUCAGGGGCUCAACCCCUGAUCGGCCGUGCGAACUGGGGAGCUUGAGCACUGUAGAGGCAGGCGGAAUUCCGGGUGUAGCGGUGGAAUGCGUAGAGAUCCGGAAGAACACCGGUGGCGAAGGCGGCGACCUGGUCCUUUACUGACGCUGAGGCGCGAAAGCGUGGGGAGCAAACAGG